AUUUAUAUAGUUUAAAUUAAAACCUUACAUUUUCAUUGUAAAAAUAAAAAAAUUUUUUUUAUAAAUA
rnacentral:tRNA from 1 species